rnacentral:rRNA from 1 species
UACGUAGGUGGCAAGCGUUGUCCGGAUUUACUGGGCGUAAAGAGCGCGCAGGCGGUCGUUCAAGUCGCGUGUGAAAGCCCCCCGGCUCAACUGGGGAGGGUCACGCGAUACUGAUCGACUCGAAGGCAGGAGAGGGUAGUGGAAUUCCCGGUGUAGUGGUGAAAUGCGCAGAUAUCGGGAGGAACACCUAUGGCGAAGGCAGCUCGCUGGGACGUUACUGACGCUGAGACGCGAAAGCGUGGGGAGCAAACAGG